UCCAGGACGAGGCCACCGUGCGCGGACCAAGAGGACAUGCCGAAGACGUGGUUGGAGGCCAGUUUGGACAAGAAGAAGGAGAAGGAUGUGCCCACACCACCAUGUUGGUGUGGUGAUGUUUGCAAGCUGAAGGUGUCCACUGACCGCAACAAGUCAUGGACAGAAGGUAGAAGGUUUUUCGUGUGUCCCAACUAUGCACAUGAUCGUCGAAGGCCAACUAACGCAUAUGACAUACCACCGGUAUGUUAG
rnacentral:rRNA from 1 species